rnacentral:lncRNA from 1 species
CCCAACCAAUAGUCAAUCUUGGUAAACCGCCAUUUUAAACAAACGCUUCCAUGUUGCAGGUCUAAUUCCUGUUUCUCUCAUGAUGGAUGGUUCGACGAGCUUAGAUCUUGUGAUGAUGAUCAAGUAUGUGAAUGCACUGACUUUUAGGUUAUAUAAAUCUCGGGGUGAGACUAUUGCCAGGCUUGUUCAAAUGUUCCGAGAUUGCUGCUCAAUUUGGUCUCUGAUAUGUCAGGAUAAAAAACGACAGCCUUUUCUAAACAAACAGCUGGUAAAUCUUGAAAGUUGUUUUAUAUUCUUUAGUUGAAAUAGAACAUUACUUUUCUUAGUUUUCUAUCAAUAUGUUGUAGAUGUAUAUUAAGUGCUUUGCGGGGAAUCUUUUAACAUGCCUUGGUCGUCCUGUUGAAGCUUGACUUGCUACCUAAACUUUAAGUCGGAUUACAUUUAUAUUAUCCUACAUGAUGCUUGUCACCAAGUUCUUGAUAUUUGUUAAUCUGCACCUUCUUCUCAGUAUUUUUUUUUUUUUUUUGAAAUGAUGCUUGUUGAGUUAAUUGAGGAUUCUGUGGUAUGUUAGCUAAUUUAACUUUUCUUUGGAUGUUUAUGGGGGCUGUUGUUUAUUUAAAGAAGAUUUAUAUCAGCUCAUAUACUCCCAGAUUUGUUCUGGAAUGAGUUUUUAUGGUUUCCUAUCUAGUAUAAAACAUGAUAACAAGUGAAACUAUUAAUGUGAUCAUAAGGAAAAAAGAGUGAAACUAUUGCUAGCACAUGCAUUCUUUGCCUAAUGUAUGCAUCCUUGAUCAAG